rnacentral:lncRNA from 1 species
UCGGAGAACUCGGCAAAUCCGACGACCAUAGUAAUAGAUUGCUCGUUGAGAUUGGACCCAUGCUCGAAAUUAGAUUUGUGUUCGAGGUCGGAGCCAAGCUUCGGACCUGUGCUCGAAGUUAGAUUUGUGUUCGAGGGCGGAGCUAGGCUAGAGGUCGGACUCGCGUUUCAGGUCGGCGGAAUGAUGUUGUAGAUGUUGGCC